CGCAUCUGUGCAUGCAGCAUAUCAAAAGCGGAGGAAAAGUCAACUACCUACGCUUAGGAUGUUGACACACGCGCGUGCUCGAUGAUAGUCUAUACAUGACUCUGUGCAUAUCAAUAAGCGGAGGAAAAGGAGUAUACCUACGCUUAGGAUGUUGACACACGCGCGUGCUCGACUCUAUACAUGACUCUGUGCAUAUCAAUAAGCGGAGGAAAAGAAACUAACAAGGAUUCCCUUAGUAACGGCGAGUGAAGCGGGAAGAGCUCAAAUUUGAAAUCUUCAAGGUUUUACCUUGACGAAUUGUAGUUUAAAGAAGUGUUUUCUGUUGAAGUUUUGGUAAAAGUUCUUUGGAAUAGGACAUCAUAGAGGGUGAGAAUCCCGUAUUUGACCAUUAUUUUCAGCUGUGUGAUACACUUUCAAAGAGUCGGAUUGUUUGGGAAUGCAGUCCAAAAUGGGUGGUAAAUUUCAUCUAAAGCUAAAUAUUGGCGAGAGACCGAUAGCGAACAAGUACCGUGAGGGAAAGAUGAAAAGAACUUUGAAAAGAGAGUUAAACAGUACGUGAAAUUGUCAAAAGGGAAGCGUUUGACACCAGUGUUGUUUUCUCGAAAAUCAAUUAAAAAGAGUUUGAUUUUGUUGUGUAUUGACCUUAACAGCUUGCAUUUCAAUUUUCUUGCUUUUUUUAAUGCACUUUUCGUUUAACAAGUCAACAUCAGUUUCUUUUGUUGUAAAAAGGUCAUUGGAAGGUGGCUUUCUUUUCGGAGAAAGUGUUUAUAGCCUUUGACUCCUGCAAUCGGAGAGACUGAGGUCUGCAGCGUAGAUCCUUCGGGGUUAGAUACAUUUGUGCUAAGUUAUAGCUUUUUAUAGACAACUUGUUGACUAUGAUUAGUCUUGUAGCUUACUCGCUUAUGCUAUUUUACCUACGCUUAGGAUGUUGACACGCGCGCGUGCUCG
rnacentral:rRNA from 1 species